CAACAAAAUAAGAACGUAGGUGCCUCAUGAGAGGGUAAAAGGGAAGACGGUGAGAAUCCGUCACAGCCCCCGCUACUGUGAACAUGGAUGAAACCUCAUAAUGCCACCAUAUUAUUAUAGUAUGGGAAGGCGAGGGAGUAAGGUGAAGUGUGAGUCAGGAAACCUGCCUAUGUUCAGCAAGACAG
rnacentral:ncRNA from 2 species